AUCAAUCAAAUUUUCUAAGCGAGUGCACAAACUGCUGGAGGAUAGUAUGAAGAACAUAGUCGUUGUCAAGUUCUUGGGAAGGAAGAUUGGGUUUAACAUUCUGUUUAACAAGGGGUUAGAAAUUUGGAGAUUGAUUUAGCUGUUUCAACUUAUGGACUUGGAUAAUUACUACUUUAUUGUGAGGUUUAAGUUGAGCGAUGACUUCUAGAAUGUGUUGACGAAAGG
rnacentral:lncRNA from 1 species